rnacentral:rRNA from 1 species
GCAGCGACGCCGCGUGAGGGAUGACGGCCUUCGGGUUGUAAACCUCUUUCAGCAGGGACGAAGCGAAAGUGACGGUACCUGCAGAAGAAGCACCGGCUAACUACGUGCCAGCAGCCGCGGUAAUACGUAGGGUGCAAGCGUUGUCCGGAAUUACUGGGCGUAAAGAGUUCGUAGGCGGUUUGUCGCGUCGUUUGUGAAAACUCACAGCUCAACUGUGAGCCUGCAGGCGAUACGGGCAGACUUGAGUACUGCAGGGGAGACUGGAAUUCCUGGUGUAGCGGUGAAAUGCGCAGAUGUCAGGAGGAACACCGGUGGCGAAGGCGGGUCUCUGGGCAGUAACUGACGCUGAGGAACGAAAGCGUGGGUAGCAAACAGGAUUAGAUACCCUGGUAGUCCACGCCGUAAACGGUGGGCGCUAGGUGUGGGUUCCUUCCACGGGAUCUGUGCCGUAGCUAACGCAUUAAGCGCCCCGCCUGGGGAGUACGGCCGCAAGGCUAAAACUCAAAGGAAUUGACGGGGGCCCGCACAAGCGGCGGAGCAUGUGGAUUAAUUCGAUGCAACGCGAAGAACCUUACCUGGGUUUGACAUAUACCGGAAAGCCGUAGAGAUACGGCCCCCCUUGUG